GGGUUAUAUAUGGUCUGGAUUUGAAAUCCGGAUUAGGUUUGUUAAACCGUAGCCUU
rnacentral:tRNA from 1 species